rnacentral:lncRNA from 1 species
CUGUGACUCACAGCUCAGUGCUUUGAUAUCCUGCACAGAAUCCUGGAAAGAGGGCCCUGAAAGAAGCUGUCACAAACAGUGUAAAGCUCCUCACUCUCUUCUUAGCUAAAGAGGCUUAAGCAGUUGAGGAAGGAACAUAAAAGAUACAGACUCCAGAGUCAUGAAGACCUAGGAUUGAUCCCACCUCCACCACUUCCUGCCACUGUGAUUUAGCAAAGUGCUUAAUUUUUAUGUCUGGUAGU